rnacentral:rRNA from 1 species
UACGUAGGGGGCAAGCGUUGUCCGGAUUUAUUGGGCGUAAAGAGCUCGUAGGUGGUUCGGUAAGUCGGAUGUGAAAUCUCCAGGCUCAACCUGGAGGGGUCAUUCGAUACUGCCGUGACUAGAGGUCGGUAGGGGAGUGUGGAAUUCCUGGUGGAGCGGUGAAAUGCGCAGAUAUCAGGAGGAACACCGGUGGCGAAGGCGGGUCUCUGGGCCGUAACUGACGCUGAGGAGCGAAAGCGUGGGGAGCGAACAGG